rnacentral:rRNA from 2 species
ACGGCUCAGUAACACGUGGAUAACCUGCCCUUGGGACCGGCAUAACCCCGGGAAACUGGGGAUAAUUCCGGAUACCGCAUAUAUGCUGGAAUGCUUUAUGCGUGAAAUGGAUUCGUCUGCCCAAGGAUGGGUCUGCGGCCUAUCAGGUAGUAGUGGGUGUAAUGUACCUACUAGCCUACAACGGGUACGGGUUGUGAGAGCAAGAGCCCGGAGAUGGAUUCUGAGACAUGAAUCCAGGCCCUACGGGGCGCAGCAGGCGCGAAAACUUUACAAUGCGGGAAACCGUGAUAAGGGGACACCGAGUGCCAGCAUCAUAUGCUGGCUGUCCAGGUGUGUAAAAUACACCUGUUAGCAAGGGCCGGGCAAGACCGGUGCCAGCCGCCGCGGUAACACCGGCGGCCCGAGUGGUGAUCGUGAUUAUUGGGUCUAAAGGGUCCGUAGCCGGUUUGGUCAGUCCUCCGGGAAAUCUGACAGCUCAACUGUUAGGCUUUCGGGGGAUACUGCCAGACUUGGAACCGGGAGAGGUAAGAGGUACUACAGGGGUAGGAGUGAAAUCUUGUAAUCCCUGUGGGACCACCUGUGGCGAAGGCGUCUUACCAGAACGGGUUCGACGGUGAGGGACGAAAGCUGGGGGCACGAACCGGAUUAGAUACCCGGGUAGUCCCAGCCGUAAACGAUGCUCGCUAGGUGUCAGGCAUGGCGCGACCGUGUCUGGUGCCGCAGGGAAGCCGUGAAGCGAGCCACCUGGGAAGUACGGCCGCAAGGCUGAAACUUAAAGGAAUUGGCGGGGGAGCAC